AGUAAAUAGAUACCCUGGUAGUCCACGCCGUAAACGAUGUCGACUUGGAGGUUGUGCCCUUGAGGCGUGGCUUCCGGAGCUAAACGCGUUAAGUCGACCGCCUGGGGAGUACGGCCGCAAGGUUAAAACUCAAAUGAAUUGACGGGGCCCGCACAAGCGGUGGAGCAUGUGGUUUAAUUCGAUGCAACGCGAAGAACCUUACCUACUCUUGACAUCCAGAGAACUUAGCAGAGAUGCUUUGGUGCCUUCGGGAACUCUGAGACAGGUGCUGCAUGGCUGUCGUCAGCUCGUGUUGUGAAAU
rnacentral:rRNA from 1 species